rnacentral:rRNA from 1 species
CUCUACCCUGGUGGUUAGUAGGCUCUGCUCAGUGAAUAUUAAAUAGCCGCAGUAUUUUAACUGUGCUAAGGUAGCAUAAUAAUUAGGCCUUUAAUAGGGGUCCGGAAUGAAGGAGCUGACGAUUUUUAAGCUAUCCUAGCCUUUAGUUGGAAUUUUAUUUUUAAGUUAAAAAGCUUAACUUCCUAGAAAGACGAUAAGACCCUAUAAAGCUUUACUAAUAUAAGAACAAAAAAAAGUAAAGCUGGUAUAAUUAGUUGAGCUGGGGCGGCAAUAAAAAUUCUUUUAUUAAUUUAACAAAAUUUCUGAAAUUAAAGAUCUAAAAAGAGAUAGAAUAAGCUACUUUAGGGAUAACAGCGCAAUCUUUCUGGAGAGAUCCUAUCGAUAGAAAGGACUUGCGACCUCGAUGUUGAAUUGAGGGGCCUGAGUUAAGUAGAAAUGACUUUAGGGAGUCUGUUCGACUUUUAAUUCCUC